rnacentral:lncRNA from 1 species
AGUCCGGCGCCGGAUCGCGGUUGCCCAGCGCGCUGUGCCCUGCCGGGGGCGGGCCACGUUUGAUCUCCGGGCCCGCAGCAAGGGAUCGCGAAGGUAUUGAUCUAGGCGCUGCUGUGAAGGGAAUUUGCAGAUGUAAUUGGCCUAAAUCAGUUGGCUUUAAUAUCAGGAAAUUGUCCUCAGUGGGCAUGGCCAUAUGGAGCCCUUACAAGGGACUGGGCUCUUCCUGGUGAAAAAGAUUUGAAUCACGAGAGUGGCUGAUAUGAGGGAAAUUCUUUGCUGUUGCCUUCGAAGACAGAAGAGGUCCACAAGGCAAAGGAUGCAGACAGCCUGUAGGAGCUGAGACUGGCUCCUGGCUGACAGCCAGCAAGGAAAUGAGGACCUCAGUCCUCCAAUCAUGAAGCAGACUCCGACUUCUGCUAACAACCUGAAUACACUUCAAAGAGGAUUCUGAGCUCCAGCCGCCUACACAUUGAUUUCAGCUGUUGGGACCCUCAGCCGAGAACCCAGCUAUGCCGUGCCCAGAUGUAAGACCUACACAUCUGUGAGCUUGAGAAUGUGAGCAUGGCACAUGGCAAUCCAGAAAAAAGACUGCAUUUCCCAGCCUCCCUUACAGCUGCUGAGACCACAGGGCUAAGUUCCUGCCAAUGAGAGGGGAAAUCUGGACACAGAGACAAACAUGCACAGAAGGAAGACUAUAUAAAGAGACACAAGGAGAAGACUGCCACCUACAAGCCAAUGAGAAAAACCUGCAACACAUUCUUCCCUAAGAGGCCUCAGAAGGAAACAACCCUGCUGACACCUUCGUUUCAGACUUGUAGCCUGCAGAUCCUGAGACAAUACAUUUCUGUUAAGACACCCUAUUUGUGCAGCUUUGUAAAGGCAGCCCCAGCAUAUAUGUAAAGCUAUAUAUGUAAAGCUUUACAUGUGUGUAUAUAUAUAUAUACACAUACACAGCAACCUGCAUACUGUGUAUAUAUACACAUAUAUACAUGUAUACAUAUGUACAUAUAGCUAUACACAUAUGUACUUUACAUAUAUAUGUAUAAACACACAAAGGAACGUGAAUAUAUACAUAUACACACACAAACUUAUAAGAAAGUAACUUCAAAUAUAAUGGCAUAGUUAAGUUGUAAGUAAAAACUGUUCUAGACACUCGAUUAGCAAAACAAAAAAUCUUGGCCCUCACGGAACUUACAUUCUAGUGGAAUAUUAAUAGUUGAGCAUAUCAAGGAGUGUAGGUCAAGUGGCUGGGGGAAAUGCCACUGACUGGCAAGAUUACACCUACAUUUCCAGGGCAGAGAGAAGAAAAUGAGUUCCCAAAGACAGAAAAAGACAUGUUGGCACAAUAGCCAAGAAAUGGAAGAGACUGUGUCAACUGCAGAUGUUGAAACUAGUAAAAAUCAAGUCCAAGAGACUUGGCAAUUAGGAGUACAUUUGACUUCAACAAAAAUAAUUCCAGGAGUGUGAUGGCAGCUGAGAUUCUAGCAUGUAAACUACUUGCCAGCGACUUUAGGAGAUUACCUGAGCCACUCUGUUGCGCCAAUGUGACAAAACCCACCCUGAAUAAAUCCAACCUUUGACUGCUUCCACAACUAUGGCUUCGACAAUGGGCAUUACUGAAGAAAGCACUGCCAUUUAGCUAUCACUGUAAGUCUACGGUGUCCAACUCACCGCUAGUCCAUUCUCUAAUUCUCCAGGAUUGCUAUUUCAAACUAGCUGUUAUACUCAUACAUCAUCCUUACCUCCUCCUUGCUUCUGGAACCAAUAACAUCAAUCAUAUGGUUCUCAAAGACAUGAAAGCCAAACCACUAAGUAACUCUUUUAACUCUCUGCUGUUCAAAUGACACACAUGCCUAUGUCCACAACCAUCCCUUCAUCUGCCUUUGAUCUGGAUCCCAACUUCCUCCUCCUGUUCAGGAACCUUGGUGUACCAAUGAUCUUAGUCAACCCCUCCUGAACCUCCCGCAUUUUUACCUCUACUGAUUCCAUCUCACUAUCCUAUUAGCAGUUAAACAUGAAAUUCAAGUUUCUUCCACUAAAAAAAAAACACAACAACAUCAACAAAACACGCCAGGCACAGUGGCUCACACCUGUAAUCCUAGCACUUUGGGAGGCCAAGGCAGGCGGAUCACCUGAAGUCAGGAGUUCAAGACCAGCCUGGCCAACAUGGUGAAACUCCUUCUCUACUAAAAACACAGAAUUUAGCUGGGUGUGGUGAUGCGUGCCUGUAAUCCCAGCUACUUGGA